GAUGAACGCUGGCGGCGUGCCUAAUACAUGCAAGUCGAGCGAACGGACGAGAAGCUUGCUUCUCUGAUGUUAGCGGCGGACGGGUGAGUAACACGUGGAUAACCUACCUAUAAGACUGGGAUAAAUUCGGGAAACCGGAGCUAAUACCGGAUAAUAUUUUGAACCGCAUGGUUCAAAAGUAAAAGACGGUCUUGCUGUCACUUAUAGAUGGAUCCGCGCUGCAUUAGCUAGUUGGUAAGGUAACGGCUUACCAAGGCAACGAUGCCUAGCCGACCUGAGAGGGUGAUCGGCCACACUGGAACUGAGACACGGUCCAGACUCCUACGGGAGGCAGCAGUAGGGAAUCUUCCGCAAUGGGCGAAAGCCUGACGGAGCAACGCCGCGUGAGUGAUGAAGGUCUUCGGAUCGUAAAACUCUGUUAUUAGGGAAGAACAUAUGUGUAAGUAACUGUGCACAUCUUGACGGUACCUAAUCAGAAAGCCACGGCUAACUACGUG
rnacentral:rRNA from 1 species